UACAGAGGUCCCAAGCGUUGUUCGGAUUCAUUGGGCGUAAAGGGUGCGUAGGUGGCGCCGUAAGUCGGGUGUGAAAUUUCGGAGCUUAACUCCGAAACUGCAUUCGAUACUGCGGUGCUUGAGGGCAGUAGAGGGUGGUGGAAUUCCGGGUGUAGUGGUGAAAUGCGUAGAUAUCCGGAGGAACACCAGUGGCGAAAGCGGCCACCUGGACUGCACCUGACGCUGACACGCGAAAGCUAGGGGAGCGAACGGG
rnacentral:rRNA from 1 species